CAGACCCUUCCGAGAGCAGAGAGCCUUUCUUGCUGGCCAUCCGUCAGCAGGCAGCCUGAGCAUCUGAUGAUAACGGAGUCGCCAAGCAACGGCAGCCAUUUGAGGAAAGGAUGGUUAAGGCAGAUAAAAGGAGCGCUGUUCUGGAGAGAGAGGUAUAAAUCGCCUUUUUUACGCUCACUGUCAGAACAGAUCAGCGUGACCAUUCUGUCCUCUUGUUCAGAUCCGCCACUUUUCAUCCCUCCUCGAGCAGCCACGAAGCCCCCACUGUGAUCGGCUGACCCGGCACCGACAGCCGACCCGAGGAAGUGCCCUGGAGAGACACACAAGCGAGAGGUGAGGCAGCCUAUGUCGUCUCUUUGAAAUGUGAAAGACCCUCCAAACCCAUAGAUGAAGCUGGCCCAGGCUUGGGGCACACGGAGGAGAAGCAUCACAGCAGAUGUAAGACGGAUGGAGAACCAGGUCGAGGGAUGCGAGUGGAGCUUUCGGCAGAUUUGGCGUGGGGUUCCCAGGUCUGCAUCCAGUACCUUCAGCUUCCUGAAGGCCGUGCGUUCCUUGGCAAUUUGAAGGCCUAUGCAAGACUGGACAUGCUGUGGAAGAAGGAACCCCCAGGGCUGGUGGCCAAGGUUCUCCGUGAGAUCCAGAGAAUGCUGGCCUAUUUCCUGAUUGCAUACACCCUGCUUUUGGGUGUAUUCAUUUGUGUUGAGCUGAUAAUUCAGCUUCUAGAUGCAGAAUAAGGAUGGAGUGAGGCCAUGCCACUUCUCAUUAUAUGGGGCCAGGAUGCCACCGCCUUCCCCUGCCCGGUUCCCUCUGGAUGUGUUGGACUGCACUGUAGCGAAUGGGAGAAGUGACCAACUGAUUUUUUUUUAAAAUGUAGACCUUGCCUUUCCAUUUAUAAAACAGGGACAUCUUUGGUUUGCUUGAAACCUCUAUGAAAAGGGUGACGCUUGCGAGAAGAAAGAGGAGGCGGCCCGCUUCCUCCCGUGGAUAGGAAAGCGUGGCUCUUACGUCAAGGACCAGGCAUUCCGUCCAUCAAUGGGUUGACUCCCCCACACCAUGAACGGUUGGAGAUUUUUUUUACUGGGUGGGGGGAGUCUUGUGCAGACAAAGGACCAUUAGUAACCCGGGAACCGAAUGCUGGCGGGGAAGUGUCUGACCCCUCCAGAGAGGCCGGCGAGGAGACGCUUGAGGCUGGCCACCGGCUGGGAAGAAGGUCCUUCAGGGGCUUCGAAGGACUGGCAGAGUCCUUCUGGGGGAACUGCGGGGCAGUCCGGUGUUUGGGAGCUGCUUUCCCCAUGAUGUCCUUUAAAAAUAAUAUAAUUAUUGUGACAAGA